UGGGGAAUAUUGGACAAUGGGCGCAAGCCUGAUCCAGCCAUGCCGCGUGAGUGACGAAGGCCUUAGGGUUGUAAAGCUCUUUUGGCGGGGAAGAUAAUGACGGUACCCGCAGAAUAAGCUCCGGCUAACUUCGUGCCAGCAGCCGCGGUAAUACGAAGGGAGCUAGCGUUGUUCGGAAUCACUGGGCGUAAAGCGCACGUAGGCGGACUUUCAAGUCAGGGGUGAAAUCCAGGGGCUCAACCUCGGAACUGCCUUUGAUACUGUUGGUCUCGAGUCCGGAAGAGGUGAGUGGAAUUCCUAGUGUAGAGGUGAAAUUCGUAGAUAUUAGGAAGAACACCGGUGGCGAAGGCGGCUCACUGGUCCGGUACUGACGCUGAGGUGCGAAAGCGUGGGGAGCAAACA
rnacentral:rRNA from 1 species